GACGAACGCUGGCGGCGUGCUUAACACAUGCAAGUCGAACGGAAAGGCACUACUUUUGUGGUGUUCUCGAGUGGCGAUCGCGUGAGUAACACGUGAGUAACCUGCUCUUGACUUUGGGAUAACUUCAGGUAACUGAGGCUAAUACCGGAUAGGAGCUCCUGCUGCAUGGUGGGGGUUGGAAAGUUUCGGCGGUUGGGGUUGGACUGGCGGGUUAUCAGCUUGUUGGUGGGGGAGUGGCUUACCAAGGCUGUGACGGGUAGCCGGCCUGGGAGCGUGACCGGCCACAAGGCGCCUGAGAGAGGGCCCAGUCUGGUACGGGGGGCAGCAGUGGGGAAUAUUGCACAAUGGGCCGAAGUCUGAUGCAGAAACGCUGCGUUCGUGAAGACGGCUUUUGGGGUGUGAAACGCUUUCGCCUGUGACGAAGCGGGAGUGACGGUACUGGGUAAAUAAGCACCGGCUAACUACGUG
rnacentral:rRNA from 1 species